rnacentral:tRNA from 1 species
AGGGAUGGAGCUCAGUGGUAGAGCAUUCUCCCAGCAUGUGCAAGGCCCUGGGUUCCAUCCCCAGCACCACAA